rnacentral:rRNA from 1 species
AUUGAACGCUGGCGGCAGGCCUAACACAUGCAAGUCGAACGAGUGGCGGACGGGUGAGUAAUGUCUGGGAAACUGCCUGAUGGCGGGGGAUAACUACUGGAAACGGUAGCUAAUACCGCAUACCAUCGGAUGUGCCCAGAUGGGAUUAGCUAGUAGGUGGGGUAACGGCUCACCUAGGCGACGAUCCCUAGCUGGUCUGAGAGGAGGACCAGGCACACUGGAACUGAGACACGGGCCAGACUCCUACGGGAGGAAGCAGUGGGGAAGAUUGCACAAUGGGCGCAAGCGUGAUGCAGCCAUGCCGCGUGUAUGAAGAAGGCCUGCGGGUUGUAGAGUACUUUCAGCGAGGAGGCGUUACUCGCAGAAGAAGCACCGGCUAACUCCGUGCCAGCAGCCGCGGUAAUUC